GACGAACGCUGGCGGCGUGCCUAAUACAUGCAAGUCGAGCGGACCGAAGGGAGCUUGCUCCUUUAGGUUAGCGGCGGACGGGUGAGUAACACGUGGGCAACCUGCCCUGCAGACUGGGAUAACUUCGGGAAACCGGAGCUAAUACCGGAUAACACCGGAAACCGCAUGGUUUUCGGUUGAAAGGCGGCUUUUAGCUGUCACUGCAGGAUGGGCCCGCGGCGCAUUAGCUAGUUGGUGAGGUAGCGGCUCACCAAGGCGACGAUGCGUAGCCGACCUGGGAGGGUGACCGGCCACACUGGGACUGGGGCCCGGCCCAGACUCCUACGGGAGGCAGCAGUAGGGAAUCUUCCGCAAUGGACGAAAGUCUGACGGAGCAACGCCGCGUGAGCGAAGAAGGUCUUCGGAUCGUAAAGCUCUGUUGUCAGGGAAGAACAAGUACCGUUCGAAUAGGGCGGUACCUUGACGGUACCUGACGAGGAAGCCACGGCUAACUACGUGCCAGCCGCCGCGGUAA
rnacentral:rRNA from 1 species